CAGGGAGCCACAGGGAUUUCUUUCUCUGUGUAGCCAGAACAGAGUUUUGUAAGUCAGGAAAGGGGGAAUGUGAAUGGACCUCACCUCACCACAGCCUGGGUGGCUUGAGCAGGCUUGUUGUCCCCUCCCCCACCCCAGCUCCAUCUCACUGCGUUGCACUGAGCCAGGCUGCUCCAGAAGAGAGAAGGGUGCACCCUGAUUGCCAUAAUUAUUGCCAGUUCAUUUAAAAAAAAAAAGCCUUCAGAGAACAUUAGCGGCUCCAGCAAGGACACACAGAUGGUUCCCCUGUCGAGUCCUGCCAGGGCACUGGGUUGAACAUUUGCAGCCAGGCUUCUCAGAGGGUGGUCACACAGCCUAUGGGGGAGUCAGAGUAGAAUCAAGGUAUGCCUGAGAGAUCCAGGACCCUCCCCACCUCACCCAGAGGUCCAAGAUGGCUUCUUGGCACCCAGCUGCAGAGUCACUGGGCCAUCCUCUCGGGGAACGUUUGCCUUGAGCCCUUCACAUGCCUUGAACUCCUGCCCGUGUGUGGACUAGAACAGAGAGGUGGCCCUGGUUCUGCAGCCUCGAAUAGAGGGCCAGGGACAGACAUACAGAUUGAGCUGGGACGAGGCUGUUCACUGCUCUACGCCAUCAGGAGCUGGGUAGAAGGAAGGACAGCACCUCAGAGCCUGGCCUGGACAUGA
rnacentral:lncRNA from 1 species